rnacentral:rRNA from 1 species
UACGGGGGGAGCAAGCGUUGUUCGGAUUUACUGGGCGUAAAGGGCGCGUAGGCGGCCACCGCAAGUCGACUGUGAAAUCUCCGGGCUUAACCCGGAACGGUCAGCCGAUACUGCAGGGCUAGAGUGCAGAAGGGGCAACUGGAAUUCUCGGUGUAGCGGUGAAAUGCGUAGAUAUCGAGAGGAACACCUGCGGCGAAGGCGGGUUGCUGGGCUGACACUGACGCUGAAGUGCGAAAGCUAGGGGAGCGAACGGG